AGCUCCAAUAGCGUAUAUUAAAGUUGUUGCAGUUAAAAAGCUCGUAGUUGGAUUUCUGGGUCAGCGACUCUGUCCGCCGAAAGGUGAGCACGGAGUGGCGAGCCCAUCCUGCUGAAAGUGCCCAUUGGUCUAUGAUCUGUGGGUAACUUCAGCACCUUUACUUUGAAAAAUUAGAGUGUUCAAAGCAGGCUUACGCUUGAAUACAUUAGCAUGGAAUAAUGGAAUAGGACUUUGGUCUUAUUUUGUUGGUUUCUAAGACUGAAGUAAUGAUUAAUAGGGACAGUUGGGGGCAUUAGUAUUUAAUUGUCAGAGGUGAAAUUCUUGGAUUUAUGAAAGACUAACUUCUGCGAAAGCAUUUGCCAAGGAUGUUUUCA
rnacentral:rRNA from 1 species